rfam:Chlorocebus sabaeus isolate 1994-021 chromosome 10, whole genome shotgun sequence.
GGAUGUGAGGGUGAUCUGGCUGUGACUUCUGUCACCCCAUUGUCCACCAGGGUUGAUUUGGCUGAUCUGACUGGCUUGGCGGGUAUCCACUUCCUCCCUCACCACCCCAUGUGCGUCCAUCCCAAACCUGCAUGCUCAGUCAAAGAGGAUGACCAUCCCCAAUAGAGGAGGACUGGUCUUCAGUCAAGGGUAUACAAGUAGCUGCACUCCCCUGCUAGAACCUCCAAACAAGCUCUAACAAAAAAAAAAAAAAAAAAAAAAAGGAUGACAUGGUAUCACUGUUUGCUCAUGUGCUCUUCCAGUUUGGCCUGAAUCUCAUCAUGAGGAAACAGC